UGAAAAAAGAAAAAGGAAUAUCUGAGUACUAGGGUUUUUGUCCAAAAGCCUCAGCCAACACUCUCUCACGCUGGCUUUUCCCCACUCACGUUGGCCAUAAUUUUAGCUGAUUUUGCUAAAACCACAACUUAAAGCAGCAGACUUUUGCAAUGGCAACAUCUGCUUGGGACAUCACUGCAACAGAAUUCUUACAGGGUUUUGAUAGACAAAAGCUAGCAUUACCCCGACAUUCCAGUAAGCAGACGAAUCGUUUGCUUUGGGGUACACUUCCAAGACAAAGCCCUCUUAAGUAUUCACAUAAGAAUUUGAGUUUAAGGUCUCAUAUUCCGGCGAAGAUUAGAGCUGUGGUCUCGAGGGAUAUCAAGAGCGUCGUUGAUGAAGAUGUUCAGGUUGCUGAGAAGGUGAUGCAUUUAUAUCGUGUUCCGUUUCUACAGGACAGUGCCACUGCUGAGCUUCUCAAGUUGGUUCAAACAAAGGUCUCUAAUCAGAUAAUUGGCUUGAAAACAGAACAGUGUUUCAAUAUCGGGCUCAAUUCAGAUAUUUCAAGUGAGAAACUUUUUGUGCUUAAAUGGGUUUUAGGAGAAACUUAUGAACCUGAGAACUUGGGAAGCGAGAGUUUCCUCGAUGAGGAGAAGAGGAAAAUUCCAGAUGCAUAUAUCAUUGAAGUUGGUCCACGGUUAUCUUUCACUACGGCGUGGUCCGCUAAUGCAGUGUCCAUUUGCCAAGCAUGCGGAUUAACAGAGAUAAAUAGAAUGGAGCGUUCUAGGAGGUAUUUAUUAUAUGUUGACGGGUCACUUCUGGAUAGUCAAAUUAAUGAGUUUGCUUCUAUGGUUCAUGAUCGGAUGACUGAGUGUGUUUAUGUUGAGAAGCUUACUUCUUUCAAGACAAGCAUAGUUCCAGAGGAGGUUCGAUAUAUACCCGUCAUAGAAAGGGGUCGAAAGGCAUUGGAGGAAAUUAAUGAGAAAAUGGGGUUGGCUUUUGAUGAGCAAGACUUACAGUACUACAUCAAACUUUUCAGGGAUGACAUGAAGCGAAACCCAACGAAUGUGGAAUUAUUUGAUAUUGCUCAAUCUAAUAGCGAACAUAGUAGGCACUGGUUCUUUACAGGGAAACUUGUUAUAGAUGGUCAACCUGUGGAUAAGACUCUUAUGCAGAUCGUCAAGAGCACUUUGCUUGCAAAUCCAAACAAUUCGGUUAUUGGUUUCAAAGAUAAUUCCAGCGCUAUCAAGGGGUUCCGAGUGAAGCAAUUGCGACCUAUCAAGCCUGGUUCGGCAUGCUUCUUGGUCAUGAUUACCAGUGACCUAGCUAUCUUGUUUACUGCAGAAACCCACAAUUUCCCUUGUGCUGUGGCACCUUAUCCUGGUGCUGAGACAGGUGCAGGCGGCCGUAUCCGGGAUACCCAUGCUACGGGAAGGGGUUCUUUUGUUGUUGCAUCUACAGCUGGAUAUUGUGUUGGAAAUCUUCAUAUUGAAGGUUCAUAUGCUCCUUGGGAAGAUCCUUCUUUCACAUACCCAGCAAAUUUGGCUUCACCGCUGCAGAUCCUUAUUGAUGCUAGUAAUGGAGCAUCGGACUAUGGGAACAAAUUCGGGGAGCCUUUGAUUCAGGGUUAUUGUCGAACGUUUGGAAUGAGACUGCCAAGUGGUGAGAGGAGGGAAUGGUUGAAGCCGAUCAUGUUUAGUGCUGGCAUUGGGCAAAUAGAUCACCUUCACUUAUCAAAGGGAGAACCCGAGAUUGGUAUGUUGGUAGUUAAGAUUGGAGGACCAGCAUAUCGUAUUGGAAUGGGAGGUGGCGCUGCAUCCAGCAUGGUCAGUGGACAGAAUGAUGCUGAGCUUGACUUCAACGCCGUGCAGCGUGGAGAUGCUGAGAUGGCACAGAAGUUGUAUCGGGUUGUUCGUGCUUGCAUUGAGAUAGGGGACAACAACCCGAUCAUAAGUAUUCAUGAUCAGGGUGCUGGUGGAAACUGUAAUGUUGUGAAGGAAAUAAUACAUCCACAGGGCGCCAAAAUUGAUAUAAGGGCAAUUGUAGUUGGCGAUCACACGAUGUCUGUUCUGGAAAUUUGGGGUGCAGAAUAUCAGGAGCAAGAUGCUAUACUAGUGAAGCCUGAAAGUCGUGAACUUUUGCAAGCAAUAUGUGCGAGGGAAAGAGUUUCCAUGGCUGUUAUUGGAACAAUUAAUGGUGAAGGGCGUAUUGUCCUGGAGGAUAGCGUGGCAAUUGAAAAAUCCAGGUCUAGUGGAUUGCCUCCUCCUCCACCUGCAGUGGAUCUUGAGCUUGAGAAGGUGCUUGGCGAUAUGCCUAAAAAGACAUUUGAAUUCCGUCGCAUGAACAAUCUGCGUGAACCACUUGAUAUUGCUCCUGCAACAACAGUUUUAGAUUCAUUGAAGAGGGUCCUGAGGCUCCCUUCUGUUUGUUCGAAAAGGUUCUUGACCACUAAAGUUGACAGGUGUGUCACAGGCCUUGUGGCACAGCAACAAACUGUGGGUCCCCUGCAGAUUCCUCUUGCUGAUGUUGCUGUUAUAGCUCAAACUUAUACAGACUUAACUGGAGGUGCGUGCUCAAUUGGGGAGCAGCCAAUAAAAGGUCUUUUGGAUCCAAAAGCAAUGGCACGGCUGGCUGUCGGAGAAGCACUCACAAAUCUUGUUUGGGCGAAAGUUACAUCUCUUUCUGAUGUUAAAGCAAGUGGGAAUUGGAUGUAUGCUGCAAAGCUAGAUGGUGAAGGAGCUGCAAUGUAUGACGCUGCUGUUGCUCUUUCUGAAGCUAUGAUUGAACUUGGAAUUGCAAUUGACGGGGGGAAAGACAGCCUUUCCAUGGCAGCCCACUCGUCUGGGGAACUUGUUAAAGCCCCAGGGAAUCUAGUCAUCAGUACCUAUGUGACGUGUCCUGAUAUAACCAAGACAGUUACUCCAGACUUGAAGCUUGGAGAUGAUGGUGUACUGCUUCAUAUUGACUUGGCUAAAGGAAAACGACGACUUGGUGGAUCUGCUCUUGCACAGGUUUUUGAUCAAAUUGGGGAUGAAAGUCCUGAUCUGGAUGACACAUCUUAUCUUAAGACUGUUUUUAAUGAGGUUCAGAAUCUAAUCUCUGAUGAGCUGAUAUCUGCUGGUCAUGAUAUCAGUGAUGGGGGACUUUUAGUGAAUGCCCUGGAAAUGGCAUUCGCAGGGAACUGUGGCAUUCGCUUGGAUUUAACUUCUUUAGGGAGUAGUGUACCCCAAACACUUUUUGCAGAGGAGCUUGGCCUUCUCAUUGAAGUUAGCAGGAAGAACUUGGACUUAGUUCUGGAAAAGCUCCGCAGUGGUGCUGUUUCAGCUAAUAUUAUUGCUCAAGUUACUUCAUCUCCAAUAGUUGAGUUGACAGUUGACGGGGUUACUCAUUUGAAUGAGAAAACUUCUGUGCUGAGGGAUAUGUGGGAAGAAACCAGCUUUCAAUUGGAAAAGCUCCAAAGACUGGCUUCGUGUGUAGAAUUAGAAAAAGAAGGAUUGAAGAAUCGGCAUGAACCAUCCUGGAAACUAUCCUUCACACCAACAUUUACUGAUGAUAAAUAUAUGACUGUCGUUUCCAAGCCAAAGGUCGCAAUUAUUCGCGAGGAAGGCAGCAAUGGUGAUAGAGAAAUGGCUGCAGCUUUUUAUGCUGCUGGAUUUGAGCCAUGGGAUGUUGCAAUGUCAGACCUUCUCAAUGGAGUCAUCACGCUUGAUGAAUUUAGAGGAAUUGUGUUUGUUGGAGGUUUUAGUUAUGCUGACGUGCUUGAUUCUGCAAAAGGCUGGGCAGCGUCCAUUCGCUUUAAUCAACCUCUUUUAAACCAAUUUCAGGCAUUUUAUAACCGUCCAGACACUUUCAGCCUCGGAGUUUGCAACGGGUGCCAACUUAUGGCUCUGUUGGGUUGGGUUCCGGGGCCCCAAGUGGGAGGUGUUUUCGGUGCCGGCGGGGACCCAUCACAGCCUAGGUUUGUACAUAAUGAGUCUGGAAGGUUUGAAUGCCGCUUCACGAGUGUGACAAUAGAAGAAUCACCGGCCAUAAUGUUCAAAGGUAUGGAAGGUAGUACACUGGGCGUUUGGGCUGCUCAUGGUGAAGGAAGAGCUUAUUUCCCUGAUGAUAAUGUUUUCAAUCAUAUUGUUGGCUCCAACUUGGCACCAGUGAAAUAUUGCGAUGAUGAUGGCAGACCAACAGAUAUAUAUCCUUUCAAUCUUAAUGGUUCUCCCUUGGGUGUGGCGGCAAUUUGUUCUCCAGAUGGGCGACAUCUUGCGAUAAUGCCUCAUCCAGAACGCUGUUUCUUGAUGUGGCAGUUCCCAUGGUAUCCUAAAAAUUGGGAUGUUGAAAAGAAAGGUCCAAGUCCCUGGUUGCGCAUGUUCCAAAAUGCCAGAGAAUGGUGCUCAUGAGACAAAUAUUAUUAUAGGGGCAAAGCUGAGAGGCUGGUGCCGUUCUUUAUCACAUAGAGGUUAAAGUGCAAAGAUUGGACAGAAGCGACACAGUUUAAUAGUCAGUGCUGAAGGUGCAGAGAUUAAGAUCAGUGCAGAGCUUGAGAUCUCUGCAAUUUUGUUGCUGAUACCAUGGCACAAAGCAGAUGAAUUUUUCAAUUUAACUGGCUGAUUGUCGUUUCUGAUGGACUUUUUCAUUGCCUCUUAGCUGUUUCACUUGUUUCUUGUAUACCAUAAUUGGUUUUUCUUAUGUCUUACAUAUAGAUCAACUGAUUUUUCUGAGCAUUCUUCGUAUCAAUUUUCCAACUCCUCUUCACUUUGUGCAUCAUUGUCAUAGGGUGUGCUUGUGUUGGUUGUGGGGAACUGUUGUGUGUUAUAUUCCAUUUCAUUACACUAUCUGAGUAUGCAUUUUGCUGUUCCUUCUGUAAUAUUUUUUUUUCUUUAGGUUGUUUGUUUUUUCUUUUCUUUUUUAGGGGUGGGGAGUGGGGGAAUGAGGGCACUGAGGUUAGGGAGGGAAAAGCAAAGUGAAAGACCAGGACCUUAUAAAGAUCAAACUUGAUCCAGGAACCAUUAUGUAAGCAUGGUAUCUGUUUAGAUAGGACCGAUUGACCCCUUCUCAUAAUGAGAUUGCAUAUGACUAUUCCGGCCUAUUCCCGUAUGGCAUGAACUUAUAAUCAUGCAUUUACUGGAGGAAACUUCAUUCUCGAUUCUAUGAGAGUUUUCUUGAAAGCAAUAUAGCAAUUCCUGUUUAUAUUGCUUUAAUUCUUAUCUAUUUGCCUUUGUUUUGCCCCCUUUUUCUUUGUCAGUUCUAACUGUGAAAUAUAUGAGGUGCCUAUUUAAACAUGGAAAAACAUACUGCUUGUAUAUUGUUUUGGAGAAGUUUAUGCUGUUACAUUUGAAUUUUCUUUCGUGUGCUUACCCCUUUAUUUACACUUUGGUCAUUAUGUUAAAUUGUUAUAUGACGAAAGAAAUUCUCACUUCUCUUCAUUGUUUUUUUUCCCGCUUGUUCUUAAUCCUAAAUGUUGUGGCUGCAACAUAAACCUUGUUGGACCUUGUUAUAAGGACAAGGGAAGAUGUUUGCUGUAUUUGGAAACUGAAAUACUUUGAUAGUGGUAUUUAUAGAACACUUCAAGAAGCUGUCCAACCAAGUCAAAUUUGAGGUUUUUAGUGGUUCAAUCAUGAAUUUCACUUGGAAUUAUUGAAGUCUUGGAAAAACUUCAGGCUACUUAAAACUCUGGGAAUAUGCAAAUGUCUUUCCUGGAUGACCUUUUCCUUCAUAUGAAUAUCAAAACAUCAACUAUCUGUCAAAUCAUUGGCAAAGUGAUAUCUUGUUGAGUUCUAUCAUCACGCCACCUUGUUUUUCGAUUUGAUAGUCAGGUUCAUGAGAGAAUAGGAAGAAAGAAUCCUAAACAAGAAAUUCUUGGCCAUAUAGAAACUAAAAAUUAAUUUAAGUAAAUAAUUUUCUAAAUGGAAAAUGGAAUUUCACAUUGUACUAAUAUAUAGAAGAGGCUUGGCAAGCAGGAGACGGUUGUUUUUGCUGUUUCAAAUUUAUCUUGCUUUGGGAUAAUACUGGGUAUGUUGUUGUUGUUGUUCCUUUUUCUUGCUUGAAUGUUAUUUGAUAAUACUGGGUAUGGUGUUGUUGUUGUUGUUGUUCCUUUUUCUUGCUUGAAUGUUAUUUGACAAUCGAGAUGUUUUUUUUUUUUUUGCAUCAAAGACAGUAGCAAAAUGUUUCUCUGAGGUACCAUAUUGUCCUUUUAUGGAAAUACUUCAGUACCUCAUUGGUUACUGAUUAUGGAUUGAAAUAAUGCUCCCCAAUGGAAAGUGAGAAAAUGUGUUAUAGCUCAUAUAUUCUCAUUUUGAUACUUGCUUUUUUUUGUUUGAGUUGGCAUUCAGUUUGUACUAAAAUUAUUGCCUAAUGAAAGAAAAUUAAAAGUUAAAAUAACAAAAUAUUUCAAUCGCUGAUAGCCUGAUACUAUGAUUUUACAUGAGCUACUAACUGUAAGAUUGUAAACUCUUGCCUUAUUUCUGUUAUCUGAUACUCUUAUGCAUUAAGUUCUGACAGUUUGUUAGAUUUUGCUUCAUUUGCGUAGAAGAAUAAUGUGUUUGAGAUGCUUAUAUGUGACUCCUUUUAUGUUUUAGGGAGUUGGUUUCUUCGGCACCGUAUGUAGUCAAUUACAUGAUAACUACAAGUCCUAUCCAAUGUGAAUAUGAAAACAUUAGGGGUAUCCUUUUGCUGUACUACUACUACUACUACUGUUCAUUGCUGAAUGACUGGGACUCAUUGGGUUUCCGAGAUAAAAGCAGAACACUUUACACCAAAAGUGGACAUUGUUGUUCAAAAUGAGAUAUCAACAGGUUUCUACAAUAUUGUCUGUGGAGCUGGGGUAUGUGCCGCUCCCAUCCAACUUUUGCUCUUAUUACUCCUACACAGUUAACUGCUGAGUGGUUAUAACUGCACGAUGUGGUUACAUAGAAUAGAAUGGAACUGUUAACUAGCUGCUUUCUGGUUCCAUUAAAGCGGAAAAUAUUGAAGCUAUAUCUCACACUUUCAAGGACUCUGCUUUUAUUAGUAAACCAGCUGGAGGAAUUUGAAUAUCUGUGCUUUACAGUUCUAAAUUGCAGGGGGUUAAAGCCUUCUUUUGAUUUUGUUUCUCACCGUGUUAGCCGCAUAUAGGUGCUUUUGAUGUCUAUCUUUUUAUAUAAAGUGGGCAACGCCUUGUUUCAAGUUACCAGUUAGUUAGUCUAUAUAUACAUUGAUGUGAACUGAGCAUGUUCAGCGAUCCUUUUAGACCUACCUUUUUGCAAAAUUCAAGUCUGCUCUA